rnacentral:rRNA from 1 species
AGCUACAGGCUUAACACAUGCAAGUCGAGGGGCAGCAUUUUAGUUUGCUUGCAAACUAAAGAUGGCGACCGGCGCACGGGUGAGUAACACGUAUCCAACCUGCCGAUAACUCGGGGAUAGCCUUUCGAAAGAAAGAUUAAUAUCCGAUAGUAUAUUAAAACCGCAUGGUUUUACUAUUAAAGAAUUUCGGUUAUCGAUGGGGAUGCGUUCCAUUAGUUUGUUGGCGGGGUAACGGCCCACCAAGACUACGAUGGAUAGGGGUUCUGAGAGGAAGGUCCCCCACAUUGGAACUGAGACACGGUCCAAACUCCUACGGGAGGCAGCAGUGAGGAAUAUUGGUCAAUGGACGAGAGUCUGAACCAGCCAAGUAGCGUGAAGGAUGACUGCCCUAUGGGUUGUAAACUUCUUUUAUAUGGGAAUAAAGUAUUCCACGUGUGGGAUUUUGUAUGUACCAUAUGAAUAAGGAUCGGCUAACUCCGUGCCAGCAGCCGCGGUAAUACGGAGGAUCCGAGCGUUAUCCGGAUUUAUUGGGUUUAAAGGGAGCGUAGGUGGAUUGUUAAGUCAGUUGUGAAAGUUUGCGGCUCAACCGUAAAAUUGCAGUUGAAACUGGCAGUCUUGAGUACAGUAGAGGUGGGCGGAAUUCGUGGUGUAGCGGUGAAAUGCUUAGAUAUCACGAAGAACUCCGAUUGCGAAGGCAGCUCACUAGACUGCAACUGACACUGAUGCUCGAAAGUGUGGGUAUCAAACAGGAUUAGAUACCCUGGUAGUCCACACAGUAAACGAUGAAUACUCGCUGUUUGCGAUAUACAGUAAGCGGCCAAGCGAAAGCAUUAAGUAUUCCACCUGGGGAGUACGCCGGCAACGGUGAAACUCAAAGGAAUUGACGGGGGCCCGCACAAGCGGAGGAACAUGUGGUUUAAUUCGAUGAUACGCGAGGAACCUUACCCGGGCUUAAAUUGCAUUUGAAUAAUCUGGAAACAGGUUAGCCGCAAGGCAAAUGUGAAGGUGCUGCAUGGUUGUCGUCAGCUCGUGCCGUGAGGUGUCGGCUUAAGUGCCAUAACGAGCGCAACCCUUAUCUUUAGUUACUAACAGGUCAUGCUGAGGACUCUAGAGAGACUGCCGUCGUAAGAUGUGAGGAAGGUGGGGAUGACGUCAAAUCAGCACGGCCCUUACGUCCGGGGCUACACACGUGUUACAAUGGGGGGUACAGAAGGCAGCUACCUGGCGACAGGAUGCUAAUCCCAAAAACCUCUCUCAGUUCGGAUCGAAGUCUGCAACCCGACUUCGUGAAGCUGGAUUCGCUAGUAAUCGCGCAUCAGCCAUGGCGCGGUGAAUACGUUCCCGGGCCUUGUACACACCGCCCGUCAAGCCAUGAAAGCCGGGGGUACCUGAAGUACGUAACCGCAAGGAGCGUCCUAGGGUAAAACUGGUAAUUGGGGCUAAGUCAUA